rnacentral:lncRNA from 1 species
CACCAAAAAGCUGUCAGAACACUCUGGAAAGCCCAAAGCGUCCCCUCCACCACUCACAGCUGUGACAUUCAUCUGUGCUCCAGCCCCAAGGAGUGGAAGCUGAUGUGGGCCAAAGCCAGGAAAAGUCAAAAGAAUCCCUCUAGAGACUGUCACUCAGAGCAGUCCCAGUCACGCAGACUACAGCUACGGUGCUGAUUGAACACCUGUCCUGAGAUGCAACACGAGAGCAGAGCUUCAGGAUCCUGACCUGAAAACUCACCAAGAGGACGAGCAAGGUCACAAGUUCCUUGGGUUCUCUGCAACCCUUCCCGAGGUACAGAGCUAAGAGCAGAGGCCAGCAGGGACCUGC